rnacentral:rRNA from 1 species
CGCGUAGGUAACCUGCCUGGUAGCGGGGGAUAACUAUUGGAAACGAUAGCUAAUACCGCAUAAGAGUAGAUGUUGCAUGACAUUUGCUUAAAAGGUGCAAUUGCGUCACUACCAGAUGGACCUGCGUUGUAUUAGCUAGUUGGUGGGGUAACGGCUCACCAAGGCGACGAUACAUAGCCGACCUGAGAGGGUGAUCGGCCACACUGGGACUGAGACACGGCCCAG